GCAGUCGAGCGAGCGGAACUAACAGAUUUACCUCGGUAAUGACGUUAGGAAAGCGAGCGGCGGAUGGGUGAGUAACACGUGGGGAACCUGCCCCAUAGUCUGGGAUACCACUUGGAAACAGGUGCUAAUACCGGAUAAGAAAGCAGAUCGCAUGAUCAGCUUUUAAAAGGCGGCGUAAGCUGUCGCUAUGGGAUGGCCCCGCGGUGCAUUAGCUAGUUGGUAAGGUAAAGGCUUACCAAGGCGAUGAUGCAUAGCCGAGUUGAGAGACUGAUCGGCCACAUUGGGACUGAGACACGGCCCAAACUCCUACGGGAGGCAGCAGUAGGGAAUCUUCCACAAUGGACGCAAGUCUGAUGGAGCAACGCCGCGUGAGUGAAGAAGGUUUUCGGAUCGUAAAGCUCUGUUGUUGGUGAAGAAGGAUAGAGGUAGUAACUGGCCUUUAUUUGACGGUAAUCAACCAGAAAGUCACGGCUAACUACGUGCCAGCAGCCGCGGUAAUACGUAGGUGGCAAGCGUUGUCCGGAUUUAUUGGGCGUAAAGCGAGCGCAGGCGGAAGAAUAAGUCUGAUGUGAAAGCCCUCGGCUUAACCGAGGAACUGCAUCGGAAACUGUUUUUCUUGAGUGCAGAAGAGGAGAGUGGAACUCCAUGUGUAGCGGUGGAAUGCGUAGAUAUAUGGAAGAACACCAGUGGCGAAGGCGGCUCUCUGGUCUGCAACUGACGCUGAGGCUCGAAAGCAUGGGUAGCGAACAGGAUUAGAUACCCUGGUAGUCCAUGCCGUAAACGAUGAGUGCUAAGUGUUGGGAGGUUUCCGCCUCUCAGUGCUGCAGCUAACGCAUUAAGCACUCCGCCUGGGGAGUACGACCGCAAGGUUGAAACUCAAAGGAAUUGACGGGGGCCCGCACAAGCGGUGGAGCAUGUGGUUUAAUUC
rnacentral:rRNA from 1 species